GAAACACGGACCAAGGAGUUCAACUGGAAUGCGAGUCGUAGAGUUAUUCACAAAACUCACACGGCAAAGCGAAAGCGAAUCUGUGCCAUGCCACAAUAUUAUAUAUUGCGGCUGCAGCACAAGCUGAUUAUGUAUGUGUGCAUUGUUUUACACUGCAUACACAUUAGUGUGUUUUACACGCAAAUGAAUAAUUAAGCUAAAGAGCACUUUAGUUGAGACCCGAAAGAUGGUGAACUAUGCUCGGACAUGGUGAAGCCAGGUGAAAACUUGGUGGAAGCUUGCGUUGUGCGGAACUGACGUGCAAAUCGUUGCCGCCUGACCUGAGUAUAGGGGCGAAAGACUCAUCGAACCAUCUAGUAGCUGGUUCCCUCCGAAGUUUCCCUCAGGAUAGCUCGAAUUUAUUAUACACACACAUUGUUACCACAUAUGAGUAACACAAGGGUAAAGCAAUGAGACGCGGUAUCUGUGGGUCUUAUCUAUAAUGACCUCGGCCUUCUCUCGAACUUUAAAUCUGUGCGCAUAUUUUCAUGUGACUAACUUUAUACGCGUAGUCACAUAUUGUAUCUAAAAUUCGUAGUGGGCCAUUUCUGGUAAGCAGAACUGGCGAUGAGGGAUUCAACCUGACGUUCUCAAGAUAAGCCGGGCUUAAUCAUAUCUGCUCCAACCUUCCGAUAAACGCGA
rnacentral:rRNA from 1 species